rnacentral:tRNA from 1 species
GCCUUCGUGGUGUAGUGGUCAGCACACUGAGCUGGUAUCUCAGAGGUCCGUGGUUCGAUCCCCGGCGAAGGCG